UAUUAUCUAGUUUAUUAACAUCAAAUUGCAAACUUGAAUAAACUCUGAAUAA
rnacentral:tRNA from 1 species